AGCGAACGCUGGCGGCAGGCUUAACACAUGCAAGUCGAGCGGGCGUAGCAAUACGUCAGCGGCAGACGGGUGAGUAACGCGUGGGAACAUACCUUUUGGUUCGGAACAACACAGGGAAACUUGUGCUAAUACCGGAUAAGCCCUUACGGGGAAAGAUUUAUCGCCGAAAGAUUGGCCCGCGUCUGAUUAGCUAGUUGGUGAGGUAAUGGCUCACCAAGGCGACGAUCAGUAGCUGGUCUGAGAGGAUGAUCAGCCACAUUGGACUGAGACACGGCCCAAACUCCUACGGGAGGCAGCAGUGGGAAUAUUGGACAAUGGGCGCAAGCCUGAUCCAGCCAUGCCGCGUGAGUGAUGAA
rnacentral:rRNA from 1 species